GACGGUUGUCGGGCGCCAUCUGGCUGCCGCUCUGAGAUCGUCCCUCUUCUCCCGAGCGUCGGCGACCUCGGCAAGGGAUGGGGCUCGGCGGCGGGGCCCGAGGCAGACUUCGGGGAGGCUGGCGACACCGGCGGUGACAGUCCCCGUGGCGCUGAGCCGCGGGCGCGUCCUGCUCUCGGCGCAGAUUGGACUCGCAGGAUGAUGAGGGGGUGACUGUCGCCGCGCUCCCGGGAUCUCGUGUGCCGGGGGAAGCCGUGUGGCCUGGCCUGGUCGACCAGCAUCCGCCUGUGCCCCUCCAGCCGCGGAGACCGACCCGAGCCGAUCGGACACGGCCUGCGCCUUGCCGCCGCGGGGGAAAGGGAGAGAGUGUCCCGCGCCCGGGCCGCCGGCGGCUAGGUGGUCAGGCCCUCGUCUGCGUCCCUUGGACGACUGCUCCUGAGGCGAGGAGCGGCCCGGGCCCAGUGCGAUUUUGGGCGUCUUUGUCUUUCGAAGAGGGCGGUGUUCUGUCGGAGUUCCGCAGGUGGUCUGAUUGGCCGAGUGGGUCCGUCGAUGUGAGUUUUGGUGUAUUUGUGGGAGAGGGUGAGCUACGAGCGUCCUUCUACUCCGCCGUCUUGCUUCUUCUCGGGUUAUUUUUGAAGAGUAGGUGCUGGGGAUUGAACCCUGGACCUUUAUUUUUUGCAUGCUAAGCAUGGGCUGUACUGCCUGAUCUCUAGACCCUCCCCACCGCAACCCCCCCCUUUCCCACCGCCUCCAUAGUACUCGAUGAAUCUCCUACCUAGAUAUCUAUGCUUCCUUGGAAUAGGGCCGUCGUUUUCUUCAUCGGAUUGAUGCACGUCUGUGGAUUCGUCUCGUUUCUCUCCACUGCGGUGGGUGGCAUCGGGGCGUGGGGUGGGGUGGAGUGGCGUGGGCUGGGAACAGUUCUUCACGUGUAGAGGUGGAGCGGAGCGAUGAGGAUGGUGACUGUUUCCCCGAGUGCUCGCGCCGGGUGAUGGAGGCCUGUGGUCUGACUUGGAAGAGGACUCGGGUGACCAGAACAGAGCCCGUGUGGGGUCGUUGUGGAGGGAGGAACUCCACCCCCCCCCAGCCCCAGCCAAGGCACUCGUACCUCAUCGAGGGACGGUCGGCCGAAAACAAACGAAAGCUGUCAGAGGUUUGGGGGUGGGGGUGAAGGUGUGUGUGUGUGUGUGUGUGUGUGUGUGUGUGUGUGUGUGUGUGUCUGUGUCUGUGUCUGUGUCUGUGUCUGUGUGUGUGUCUGUGUGUCUGUGUGUCUGUGUCUGUGUGGUGUGUGUGGUGUGUGUGUGUGGUGUGUGUGUGUGGUGUGUGUGUGUGUGGUGUGUGUGUGUCCCCGUUCCCCGUACCACGGUCUCUGGUCGAGGCCCCCCCGAGCGGAGAAACGCACGCCAGGCCGUCCGUGCUCCUGGUUGUCCGGCUGCGUGUCCCUGCCACCCAGAGAUCCCGAACCGUCCCGCUCGCUCCCCUGCCAUGUGCCAUGUGCCACCUGCCUGUCGGCCGGGCGCUAUUUUAGACCCUGCGAAGAAGUCGACCGGACGGACGGGCCGGGCCGGGCCGGGCCGGGCCGGGCCGGGCUGAGCCGAGCCGAGCCGAUCUGAGCCGAGCCCGUCCAGGCUGGGGAACCCUCGUCCCGAGGGACUGAAUCUAGUGCCCUGUGCUGCGCGGUACGACCUAGGGGUCGAAUCUGCCAGGAGAGGACUUACAAGGAUUUGGAGGAUCCUGGAAAACUGCUACCAUCCAGAAUCCUACAUGGAUGUU